rnacentral:sRNA from 12 species
CAGCGUUGAAGCAGGUGAUGGGGUCAGCAUCCGUACACCUGUGGAGCUUUGAAUGAGGGUUCGGCGGUUCCCACAGGCUGACGUAGGUUUUCCGAAUGAAAACGCCAUUU